rnacentral:lncRNA from 1 species
UCAAGAAUUAUCUUGCUUCUGCAACAAAUUAAUUACAGCAACCCAAAUUAAAAACUAAAUUGUCAUCCAAUGAUCAAUUCAUGACAUUCUUAGUUAGGCAGCUCACAGCUUACUGCUAGCUAGUUUGAACCUUAGACCAAUUCUAUGGAGGUGGCCUACCAUAUACUUUGGAACUCACUUGUUUUGAUAUCGAUGAUUGUGGUGAUCUUAGAUCGUCACUUCACGAUGUUAUUUACGGAUGAGGCUUGUCACUGCUAUGGAUUUGCUGAGAA